UUGGUUGUGUCUCCUGUAGGCCUCUCAGCCAAACAGAAUAUUUAGGCUACUAAUGAAAGUCUUAGGCUGCUAAUGAAAGGUCUCUUUGACCGGAACGUUACAUGUUUAUUAAUGUUCUCUCUGCACUGUGUGCUGGAGCACCCAUUCUAGUUCUCACUUUUCCAAAACCUGACACUUCAGGUGUGCACGUUUUUAUUUUCACUCUCUUUUUUCUGAGUGAAAGUGUGUUGUCUAUCCAGAGCGGAAGGUUUGAGAGCAGCUUCUUAACCAGAUGGAAGAAUAAGAUGAGCUAUGGUCCAGCAGAGAGAAAAUGCCGCAACACAGGAUGUGGAAAAGUCAGUGCUGUCCAUUCUGCUUUACAUCCGAAGAUGGACUCACUGCUUUGCACAAGGACAUGAGAACUGCUUGAGGCCAAUACAGCAGAAUGUCAUGUUGCCUCGUGAGCCACCCGUAUUGGUUGACAGUGAAGACACGUCAUGCACGUCAACAGAAUGUCAAGCAGAGGACAGAUAACUGUUUUCCUGCAGACAAAACAUACUUCAGGAUGAAACGACGUUGGUGGAAGAAUCCGUGAUCGUCGCUUUGCUUCACGCAACAAAUGACUGUGGAGAUGAAUGGGAGCUACUAUGAACCAGCUCCUUAGGAGAAACUACAAGAAGGGAAAGGAUUUGUCCCAUAAUUUGGCACUAUUAUGAUCAUUGGUUCUGCUUGUUUUAUAAAUACACUGUUUGGAACCAUUGACACUAAAAUACAGGCCAA